AGAGUUUGAUCCUGGCUCAGAAUGAACGCUGGCGGCGUGCCUAACACAUGCAAGUCGUACGAGAAAUCCCGAGCUUGCUUGGGAGAGUAAAGUGGCGCACGGGUGAGUAACGCGUGGGUAACCCACCUUCGAAUCUGGGAUAACUCCGCGAAAGCGGUGCUAAUACCGGAUAAGACCACAGCCGUUUCGGCGGCAGAGGUAAAAGCUGACCUCUCCAUGGAAGUUAGCGUUCGAGGACGGGCCCGCGUCCUAUCAGCUUGUUGGUGGGGUAAAAGCCUACCAAGGCAGCGACGGGUAGCUGGUCUGAGAGGAUGAUCAGCCACACUGGAACUGGAACACGGUCCAGACUCCUACGGGAGGCAGCAGUGAGGAAUUUUGCGCAAUGGGGGAAACCCUGACGCAGCAACGCCGCGUGGGUGAAGAAGGCUUUCGGGUCGUAAAGCCCUGUCAGGUGGGAAGAACCGUUUCGAUACUAAUAAUGUCGAAGCCUGACGGUACCACCAGAGGAAGCACCGGCCAACUCCGUGCCAGCAGCCGCGGUAAUACGGAGGGUGCAAGCGUUGUUCGGAAUUAUUGGGCGUAAA
rnacentral:rRNA from 1 species